UAAAUACACGAAUUGAACUAUUUUGGAACUGAUAUUCAGCAAUUGAGUUCAUCCAGCCAGACUCUGGUCAGUAGAGUUGAGUUAGCAGACAUGAUUUCGGUUCCCCACGUCCUGUGUAACAGAGCACCCCUCAGCCUCUCCUGGCAGACCUCUCUAGCAACACACUCUGGAAAUGAUCCCUUGAGGCUCCUAUCAGAUGUCAUGAAGAGGUGAACUGAAAUACCUGUCCUGACGGUGGGACCGGGGCAAGCAUGGAUGGUGCUAUUAUUGGACAGGCACCAUAACGUGCUGGAGAACACUAAAAAGUGAGCCUCACCAGUAACUAGUUUUGUGAUGUUCGGUGUUGAGGAUGGAGGGCGAUGCUGUUGAAAUAGAAUUUGCUGAGGUAGGAAUGGCUACAACAAGAACUAUAUCAGAAGCCACAUUUUGCGGAUGGAAGAGAUGACCUUAGCCUGCGUUCAUGAAUAAUCAAGUGGAAGAGAGCCAUGCUCUGAACGGAUACAUCCUA